UUGGAGGGCAAGUCUGGUGCCAGCAGCCGCGGUAAUUCCAGCUCCAAUAGCGUAUAUUAAAGUUGCUGCAGUUAAAAAGCUCGUAGUUGAAUUUCGGGACCGAUAUAUCGGUCGUGCCUCGGUACGUACUGGUAUUUUCGGUUUCUCCCUUCUGACGAACCUUGAUGUCAUUAAUUUGGUGUCUUGGGGAGUCAGGACUGUUACUUUGAAAAAAUUAGAGUGUUUAAAGCAGGCUCACGCUUGAAUACAUUAGCAUGGAAUAAUGAAAUAGGACGUUUGAUUCUAUUUUGUUGGUUUCUAGGAUCGACGUAAUGAUUAAUAGGGAUAGUUGGGGGCAUUAGUAUUCAAUUGUCAGAGGUGAAAUUCUUGGAUUUAUUGAAGACUAACUACUGCGAAAGCAUUUGCCAAGGAUGUUUUCAUUAAUCAAGAACGAAAGUUAGGGGAUCGAAGACGAUCAGAUACCGUCGUAGUCUUAACCAUAAACUAUGCCGACUAGGGAUCGGAUGAUGUUAAUUUUUUAAUGACUCAUUCGGCGCCUUACGGGAAAC
rnacentral:rRNA from 1 species